GUUGAACAUUGUAAUUGUAGAAAAAUAUGAACAUUACACAAAAGAUUCCUCCGUGUUGUGCUGCGCCCUUCCCCCACUCUCUCUCUCCUCCACACACCGCAACCGCGGGGAAAGAAACGCAACGUCCAGUUCGAUCCAAUAGCAAAGCAGCUCUCUUUCCUCUACAAUUCAUCUCUCAACCAAAUUUCUAAAUCUGGGCCUUCUAAAUUCGCUCUGGAAGAUCCACAUUCCCAUUCCCAUUCCUCAUUUAUCCACAUUUCCACAAACAAGACGGUGGCGAGGCGGUGGAGAAGAAAAGGGAACAAACAAAACAAUGCAUUCCAUAAAAGAAAGAGUUUCAGAGACCCUUUCGCGUCUCUUUUCUGAUUCUCCAAUUCAAACUGCAGACAAUCAGCCUCAGCCCCAGCCUCAGGCUGGUCCAGAGACAAAGGAUGGAAAAACUUUAACUUCUGUACUUUCUUUUGUGCUCCCCUCGUCAAGGUUUGAUAGAUUGAAAUCAUUCAAUGAUCAACAUGAUAAUACACCAAGGGUCCACUCACCUUCUUUUACGUGGAGAAGUAGAAGUUUUAAAUUGGAAGAUAAACCUUUGGAGAGAUUUGAUGAUUAUGACUUUGACGAUGAUUACAAAGACAUCCCAGAUUUUCAUGGAGAGGAUGAAUUCAGUAGAAGCACUUUUUAUAAUGCACAAGGAGAAAUCCUUGAGCCCAAUUCUGCAAGAAGCAUUGCUAGUGGCUUUGAAGAUUUUGAGGAUGCCCGUGAUGGAGUUGACUAUGAAGUCAUGCCUAAUCUCAUAAAUGAGUCUCUUUUUGUUACUCCUGACUUGUACGAGUUUCUCCAAGCAUCCCUUCCUAAUAUAGUCAAAGGUUGUCAGUGGAUGCUGUUGUACAGCACGGAUAGAGAUGGUAUAUCACUCCGGACACUCAUUCACAAGAGCGCUGAUACUUCUGGUCCUUGUUUGCUAAUUACUGGUGAUAAGGAAGGUGCCGUCUUUGGUGGACUGCUUGAGGCACCAUUGACGCCUACUGCAAAGCCAAAAUAUCAGGGGACAAAUCAAGCAUUUGUGUUUACAACUUUAUAUGGUGAGCCCCGGAUGUUUAGACCAACUGGUGCCAAUAGAUAUUUCUUUUUGUGUAUGUACGACCAACUUGCCUUUGGAGGGGGUGAAAAUUUCGCAUUAAGUGUUGAUGGAGAUCUGUUGACUGGCAGCAGUGGGCCUUGUGAGACAUUUGGAAACUUAUGCUUAGCCAAUAAUCAAGAGUUUCAGUUAAGGAAUGUUGAGCUUUGGGGAUUUACACAUGCUUCUCGAUAUCUUGUCUGAUUCCUCAUCUCAUUAUCUCAACAAUUGGUAUGCUGUGAACCUCGGAUCACAUAGUAAGGCUCGGUGAACGUCACUUGCAGGUUAUAAUUUGAAACAUCAUUGGCAUGGUGCACCUUAUAAUUUGCCUAUGGUUCCUACAAUUAUAGAGAUGAAUAUUCAUCACCAAUAUGAAGCUGUGUUUUGCGGUAUAUUUUGCAUUGCCCCACCCAUAUACGUUCGUUCGGCUGGUUUGUAUUUAUUUAUUUAUUGGCUAAAAUAUAGAAAACAGAUCAUUCUUUGUUUUUCAGCUUCCUAUGAGAAAUUAUUUCCCCCUAUAUUGCUGUACAUGAUUUACAUUCAAGGUUACGAAAUACUGUUUUGUAAGAACUA